ACUUGAAUACGAUUGAAGAUAGAGACAUUCCAUCUAAUCCAAUAGGAACAUCUAAUCCAAUAGGCAGUGCGCAAAAUGGCAAUAAUAACAUUCCCUCCGCAGAACCGCCAAGUAAUGAAAUACAAUCUUCUGAAUCGAGCUUUGAGGUUCCACGAAAUCAGGGUUAUCGAGCAAAAGUUGUUGGAAAGGAUGUCCAUGCUAUGCUAGAUAAUGGGAGUGGAGUUGAAGUAUAUAUAAAGAGUUUAAGAAAGCCUCACAAGUAUGUUGCACAAGGUUCUUUGUUGAGCACAAAUCCAACUACUAAAAUAGGUGGCGCCGAGUUAGGAUCACAAUACUGGGAGGUUCAAAUAAAUGUUCCAAUAGAGCCUAACGAGCCGUUAUUAAGAUCA